AACGAACGCUGGCGGCAUGCCUAACACAUGCAAGUCGAACGAGACCUUCGGGUCUAGUGGCGCACGGGUGCGUAACGCGUGGGAACCUGCCCUUAGGUUCGGCAUAACUCCCCGAAAGGGGUGCUAAUACCGGAUAAUGUCUUCGGACCAAAGAUUUAUCGCCUUUGGAUGGGCCCGCGUUGGAUUAGCUAGUUGGUAGGGUAAAAGCCUCCCACGGCUACGAUCCAUAGCUGGUCUGAGAGGCUGAUCAGCCACACUGGGACGGAGACACGGCCGGGAAUCUUACGGGAGGCAGCAGUGGGGAAUAUUGGACAAUGGGCGAAAGGAUGAUGCAGCAAUGCUGGGUGAGUGAUGAAGGCCUUAGGGUUGUAAAGCUCGUUUACCCGGGAUGAUAAUGACAGUACCGGGAGAAUAAGCACCGGCUAACUCCGUG
rnacentral:rRNA from 1 species